rnacentral:lncRNA from 1 species
UUCACGAACAAAACACAUAAACUUUACUACAUAAUAUAUCAUCUUCUAAAACUAUCUGUCCAUCAAAAGUAGAUUGUUGCAGUAUGAGUUUAGUAAUUAAGGGAUCACCUAUUCCAAACAUCGAUCAGCGAAAGGACGUGCAACAAAUUGGACGGAUUGCAGUGGACAUACACAACGAAGACAAAUCAGACACUUUGAUUUUCCAUCGUGUGAUAAACGGCCUGGAGAAUGCAGUGGAUACUUGCAAGUCGUAUGCUCUUGUGGUGGAAGUUAUCAAGGAUAAAAUUAUCUGGACAUAUGCGACUUUGAUUACAAUUCCACAAACAUCAAGCUAUGAACUCGUAUAUUUUAGAGAUCCCCUCGGGUACUACCCCUAAUAGUAUGAAAACAAUCCUUCUAUAUGUAUGUGUGUGUGUGUGAGAGGCAUUAUUGUCUUUGGCCUAUAUGAAAAUAAAUGGUAUAACCAUAUAAUAAGAACAAUGAUACUUAUCUAUUAUCUCUCUUUCUAGUUUUUCUUUUUUAUCAAAUUUUGCAGUCAAGUAUUCAUGGUGCAUUUCAGAAAUUAUAAUUUGUUAUAUAAUCGUAGCUUGUUUGUCUGUCUUAGUACUUCAAUAGGAAUUAAGGGAGUGUAACCAAUGGCAACGCAUAUCUUUGACCUCAUUCUUUUCAAAAUAUAAAACAAACCACAGUUAAUAUCGAUCAUUAAUGCACAACUUCUAGGUAUUUUCCAUCUGUCUAAGACAUCUCCUCCUUUCUCACCACUACGAGAAAAAGUGGCUUUCUUGACCUUUGUAGUUUUAAUUGCUUGAGGUCUUUUGAAAAAAAAAACGUUAAGAAAUGGGUGAUUUCAAAGAAAAAACGUCAAGAAUUUCUAUGAAAAUGCAGAGAUAUGCCAAUCUUCAACUUUCUUGACGUUUUUUAAACGUCGAGUAAUAUUUAUUUAUCCUUGACGUUUUAAAAACGUCAAGUUCUAUUAAAUAAAUAAUAAAAAAACAAAAAUGCGUCGUCUCCCUUCUUUAUCGAAUUAAUUGUUUUGGCCUAGAAAUCUUCUUCUUCAUAUUUCCAAAUUUCGCAUCUUCUUCUUCUUCACGACUGAGUAUUCGAAAUCUCCAUCUUCACAUUGUCGUCACGCAUGAGCUUCCGUAAUCUUCUUCUCCACAGUGUCGUUCGUCACGCCGUCGUCUCGUCACAAUUCUCCGUCUUCGAAAAGUAACCAUCGGUCCUUCACUUGAUCCUCUUGUCUUCAAAAAAUGCACACUCUGUCAUAUGAAAUUGGACAUCUGAAAUCGCCGUUCUUAACGUUGGGGAAGCCCUAUCCCACACCCGUUCUUGAAGAUAUUCGAAAUUUGUUUUCACACUCGUUCGAAAUCACCAUUCGAAAUCGCCACCGGGGAUUAAUUCCAUCUCUUCACACCUAUCUCUUCACACUCAAUAUCUUCCUUUUGAAACAUCCUUGAUGCUUUUGACCGCCGACUGAAGGUCCUCCAAACAAACACAUUUUGUUCUCUGACCACAAAUUGAAUUAGGUGCGUUGUCCGGUUAAGUUGAUGCUUUAAAACCAUUUCUUUCUCCAAACGCUUCCUUUUUGUUUUCACAUGAUAAAGAACUGAUAAAUCAUUUUCUCUUUUGGUUUUGGGACGAGAUGAGUGUACUAUACAAAUAUUAACCUAGUUAAGAUGUGUUAGUGUGUGAAAUUUUUCAGAGAAAAAAAAAAAGAGACAUCUUCUCCAAAUUUUUAUCUCCCUCAACUAUCUUCCUUCAAUGUCUUUUAAAGAAAGAAAAAAACCAACACCAACAAACCUUCUAUCACUUUUUUUUCUUCUUUUUCUUCCUUAAGCUUUUGGGUCUUUUCUUUAAUUAUGUAUACGUCUUUGUCCUUUUUUCCUAUUUUUCAGAGAGAAGAAAAAAGUUAAAGGAUUUUUUAAAAAAAAUAAUAAUAGAAGAAAACAGGUGACGAGAAAAGAAUAAAAUUUUCUUUAUACAUUUUCUUUUCUUUCUCUAUCAUUUAAAAAAAGCACAUCACGGGAAGUAAAUCUCUACUAAAUACAACUUCCAACUAAGCUUAUUUUAACGUGAGAUUUGAUUUGCUCAAGAAAAAAAAAAAAGUAAAGACACAUGAUGAAAUGUAUAAGAAAAACCCUUUUGCAUAAAUUUUCUUUAAAUUGGCAGAGAUUAUCUAAAGAAAUUUUAUUCUACGAAACUUUAUUUCCCACUGUUUUCAAAUGAAAAGCGUCCCUGCUUAGAAACCGGGGUAUACCACAAAUAGGAAAAAUGAAUAAGAAUAAAAACAAAAUUAGAUAUUAUGUGAAUAAAAUAAUUUUUCAUUUUCUUAAAAUAAAUUAAAUGAGAUAUUUUGAGAUUUUUGUGAAAAAUAAAUUAAUAAAUACGUUACCUAAAUUUGUACAACAUAAAAGUUGAUUAUUAUUAGUUGUCCCACAUUUUAAUUCAAGAGACCCCUCUCAAUAUAUAUUUCAAUUAACCUAAGAUCAAAAGUAACGAGACUAAUUAAAUAUACAAAUUCUCGUUAAAUUAGUUUUUCUUCUAAUCUUCAACCGACGACCGUGGUGGUUCGCUGUUAUUUUCAUCUUUCACAACUAGCAUCCUUUCGCUAAAUUACUGUUUUUCCUCACAUUUUCUUCAUUCUCUUCGAUCUUUCUCUCUUUUAUUUUCCCUCUUCAUACACACUUGCAAUCAAGAAAAAAUGGGUAGGGUUAGGUAAAAUGUGUCAUUGAAAAUAAAAAUACGGAUUUUCUUUUACACAAUUUAAGUUUUCUUGACACAAUCUUUGCAUUGUUAAUUAACGAUAAAUUUUUUGUGUUAUUAAUUUUUUUUUUUUACUUCCCUCUCUCACGCAAUUAAAAUAAAUCAUUGGUGCAUUUUUCCUUUUUCUCUUUACCAAAAACAUUCUCCAACUGUGUAACAUCUAUCUGAAACGCUAAAAAACCCUUAUCUUCCAUUUUUCUUCCAUCUACCGCCGCCGAGACAGUCCUCCAGCCACCGUCGUCGAAAUGCCAAACCAAGCCAACGUCGUCGAACCGAGAAAUUUAACCACUACAGUCGAAUAAUUUUUGUUUUAAAAGGAUACUCUAGCCACCUAAUUUUAUCCUACAUUUUUUAUAUAUAUUUUUUAAAAUAAUGACUAAGAUUUUUUAUUUUUCCUUAUAAUAAUCAUUUUAUUAAAAAAUUUCUUUGACGACCAUAUUUAUCAUAAAAAAAUCAAUUUAUUUAAAACAAAUCUUUUAAUGUUAGAUUUACCUUAUUUGUACUAGGAAAAAGAUAUUUGUUUUUCCUUAUUGUUAGCCUCCAACUCUUUGAGCAACCGACUAAGGUAAUCCAUUGCAAGCAAGAAAAUAAAGGGGGAGAUUGGAUCACCUUGUCUAAUACCUCUAAUAGGUUGUAUUUUUCCCCUUUGGUCUUUCAUUAAUUAGUAUGGAGUAUUUUACACUGCUAAGACAGUUACUUAUCCAAGAUCUCCAUUUAUUUGGGAAUCCUUUUUUCAACCGGAUGAAGUCUAUAAACUACCAAUUUAACUUGUCAAAAGGCCUUUUCAAUAACAAGUUUAAUUAUAAAGCCCUUUGUUUUUUUUACUUUCCAGAAAUCAACAACUUCGUUGGCAAUCAAGAUAGCAUCAGUUAUCUGUCUCCCCCUAACAAAUUAAAGGCCAUUUGGUUUUCGGAAUCCGUAUCAUGGAGAGUGUUUUUUAGUCUUUCUGUAAGGAAAGAUCAAGCCUAGCGAAGCGAAGCGACCACUGGAGAUUAAUGUAAUAGCGAGACCAAUCUAAAGGAUGCGAAGAAGAAGAUUGACUUAAGAGGAGAUAAAGACUUUAAAAAAAGUUCAGACGAGACUGCUCUGUUAGGAUCGAAGAGGUCUGGAGGACCCGUCCGGAGGCGCGAAGCGAAGCGACUGUGAAAGAGCCCUUAGAUAGGAAAAAUAGGCCAAUAGGAGUGGAGCCUUUGUUUUUGCUAGGCUUUCUCUUUCCGACUACAAUAUCUCUGUCUUAUAGAACCUUGUAAAUCAAUGUCAAAGUCUAUCAAAGUAGAUGCUUUAUUUUACAGUCAUGAAAGAGUGAACAACAGAAACUAAAACAGAUGUGGAUCCUUCCUCCAAAGGCUGAGAGGUCAGGGCUCUUUCUUACCCCACGAACCUUGAUAAGCGACCCUUUGUUAAGGGUCGACCUGCUUUCCACUGCUCCACGUGUCUUUAGUAACCCUAUUUUCUUGAGUUGGGUUCAUAAUUUCCACAACUAUAUAAUUUUACUUUUCUUGCAUAUAAUUUUUCAUAUAUAUUUAACUUUAUUUUCCUAUUUUAACAAAAAGCACAUAGGCAAAAGAAUCAAUAGUUGCAUUUGAAAAGAUAGAAUUAAUUAUAAUAUGUUUUCCAAGUGUACUUAUCAAAGUAAUCUCUUUCGUCUUUUCAAAUUUUCUUCUGCUUUUUCCUUCGUAUUCAUCCUCAAGGUUCCAUGCUUUUUCUCUUCGCUUAUCCUCCAAUCUCUCAUUUUUUUUCUCUUUUUUUAUCAAUCUUUUCCCACUCUUUUUUCCUUUUUCCUUAAAUAUAUAUUAACAAAACUGGCCCUCAACGUUUUUAUCGUUCUUUUCUUUUUAAAUUCAUUAUCCUUCUUUUCUUUAAUUUAAGGUAUCUCAUCUUUUCUUCACCUUUUUUAUGCUUUCUUUUAUAAAAAGAAAAGAAUAAUAUUUAUGACCAUUUUUUUAUUUAUAUUUAUAAGAUUAAAUAAACAUGGAAGAUGGAGCUCAAUUGUUAGAGCACUCGCUUGGCCAGUUCGAUAGACACAGUUAGACAUAGUUAGACAUAGGGAUUGAUACCCAUUGGCAGCAUCUCCAUGGUCUUUUAAUCAAAUUCAAUAACACAUCUAUAUUUCUUUAUUUAUUAGAUUGUUGACUAGAAAAUAAGUUGGGGUUUUUUCCUCUUUUAAAAAGUUGUCUUUCUUUUAGGAAAUCGAUUAAAAACUAUUUCGUAAAAAUAAUUGUAACAAAUGAGAUUUGGACUCACAACCAACACAACACUUGUGCAAGGGGGCACAACCACUUCAGCACAAGUAUAAUUUAGGCAAAGAAAAGCCGAAUUUAAUAUGUACUACUAUAAUCUAACACUUAUAAGUAAGAGAGAUACAAAACUAUCUUCAAAUUGAUUCCAAACUAUCUUCAAAUCUAUCAACUGUGUACUGCUAAGCAAGAGAGAUACAAAAAGUAGAAGAUUCCAUUUUAUCAAAAUUAGACACAAUGGAAAUGAAUAUGUUGACUGUUAUAAACCACACACAACUAUAUAAAUACCAAACUCCUAACUCCUAAGUAUUCACGAACAAAACACAUAAACUUUACUACAUAAUAUACCAUCUUCUAAAACUAUCUGUCCAUCAAAAGUAGAUUGUUGCAGUAUGAGUUUCGUAAUUAAGGGAUCACCCAUUCCAAACAUCGAUCAGCGAAAGGACGUGCAACAAAUUGGAGGGAUUGCAGUGGACAUACACAACGAAGAAAAAUCAGACACUUUGAUUUUCCAUCGUGUGAUAAACGGCCUGGAGCUUGUGAUUAAUGAUAUAAAUGGUAGCAUAUUGUCGUAUACUCUUGUGGUGGAAGCUAUAAAUAAGGAUAAAAAUAUCUGGACAUAUGUGACUUCCAUUAAAAUUACAAAACCAUCAAGCUAUGAACUCGUAUAUUUUAGAGAUCCCCUCGGGUACUACCCCGAAUAGUAUGAAAACAAUCCUUCUAUAUGUGUGUGUGUGUGAGAGGCAUUAUUGUCUUUUGCCUAUAUGAAAAUAAAUGGUAUAACCAUAUAAUAAGAACAAUGAUACUUACCUAUUAUCUCUCUUUCUAGUUUUUCUUUUUUAUCAAAUUUUGCAGUCAAGUAUACAUGGUGCAUUUCAGAAAUUAUAAUUUGUUAUAUAAUCGUAACUUGUUUGUCGGUCUUAGUGCUUCAUUAGGAAUUAAGGGAGACCAACAUAUAGCGAGGCAUAUCUUUGACCUCAUUCAUUUCAAAAAUAUGAAACAAGGCCAAAGUGAAUAUAUAUAAUGCACAACUUCUAGGUAUUUUCCAUCGAUUUAAGGAUUCUCCUCCUUUUUCACGUUUCUCUCUCUCUCAAAAGCUUCCUUUUUUUUUCAUAUGAUAAAAAUCUUUUGAUACCAGUUGAGAUGUUUAGUACACCCCAAUCUCUCUUCACGUGAAACUAAAAGAUCCAAAGGAAAAAAAAAGACAUUUUCUCUAAAUUUUCAUCUCCCUCCACUAUCUUCCUUCUCUUUCCUUCAAAGAAAGAAAAUAACCAACAGCAACAAACCUCUAUCCUUUUUUAUUUUUUCUUUUCCUUCCUUAAGCUUCUAGGUUUUUCUUUAAUUAUGUACAUGUGUAUUUUUUUUUUCUUCUAAUUUCUUCGUUUUUUUAAUAUCUACAAAUCAAACUGCCUCUCUACACAUCUCACGGCCUAUCUAGCAUAGUCUUACAAUAUAUUAGUGGGAUUUAUAACUUCUUUUAAAUUAAGGGUCGUUCUAGUUGAGAUGUAUUAUUGGUGCACCGUUUGACUCCUACUGCAAUAUUGUGAAUUUUAUAAAAAAAACAUAAAGAAAAAAGUUAUGGUAAAAGUUCUAAGAGCAAGUAAUGAUUUCUAUACCUUUUAUGACCUUAGCAGUAGUACUUUUAUGAGAAAGGACUGUAUUUUCAUUACCAUCACUAAGCCACAAUCUUUUGCAUCUUUGAGUCCAUAAUUGUGUCUCUUUAUGAAUUUUAUUGCUAAGAUCAGUUUUGAGGGCUAUUCUACGUGAGCUAUCCACAUCAUUCAAUUUAUUUGUAAAACGGAAAGGAGCAGGACCCCAAUUUAAGAUCAAAAGCUUCUAAAACCAUCGAAAAAUAAUCAGACGUAAUUCGGGACAUAACUUUGGAAUAAUGAAUUGAGAAAGAAUUUUCCCAUUUUGAGCAAGGAGAAACCUAUCAAGCCAAGAUAAAGUUGGAGAAAGGCGGAGAUUUGACCAAGUAAAUUUUGCAUUAGUGAGGGGAGGGUCAAUAAGAUUACAAUUCUCAAUGAAGGAAUUGAACUUUUUCAUACUGUGCUUACCUGGAUUGCUUGCUGAUGUUUCUUUUGCCCACUUAAUGAUAUUAAAAUCACCUCCCAACAACCGGAUUGGUAAACUAAGAUUGUUUUCCCCAAUCACUAUCACUGUAGCCAACAAGAAAAUUAUCCACAUUCCUUUAUAGUGGAUUCCAUGAUCAACUGUUCCAAGAAUGUAUCUAAGAACUCUCUUCCAGCUUCCCAAUGAUUCUCUUUGGUGAUGUCAUAAAUCUACUCAAUAAAUCGACCGAGAACAUAAUAUCAGGUCUAGUUGUAGUUAAAUACAUUAAACUUCCAACCAGACUUCUAUAAAUGGUGGCAUCAAAAGCUUCACUAACAUCAUGCUUACUUAACUUUAAACCCAAUUCCAUAGGAGUACUGACAGGAUAAGCAUUCUCCAUUUUGAACUUUUUCAGCAAAUCUUUUGCAUACUUCUUUUGGAAAAUUGCAAUCUCAUUACACCUUGUUUAACUUCAAUACAAAGAAAAUAAUGAAGUAAACCCAUAUCAGUCAUCUCAAAUUCCUUUUUCAUGCUCUCUUUGAAUUCUUCAAUCAUCAUAUUUGAGUUGCCCGUAAAUAUUAAAUCAUCAACAUAUAGACAAAUUAUCAAGAAAUUACCAUUUUCAUCUCCUUUGGUGUAGAGAGCAUGUUCAUAUGGACAUCUUCUGAAACCAUCAUUUAAGAAAAAUUGUCGAUGCGACUGUACCAAGCCCUUGGUGCUUGCUUUAGCACAUACAAGGCUUUCUUUAAUCGACACACUUAUUUUCUUCUCCAAUCUUUGCAUAACCGGGGGCUGCUCACAUAUAUUUCAUCCUCUAAAUACCCAUUUAGGAAUGCUGACUUUACAUCCAUUUGAUGAACUUUCCAUUCAUUUUUUGCUGCAAGGGCUAACAACAACGAACAGUCUCCAGGCGAGUUACCGGUGCAAAAACUUCUUCAUAAUCCACACCAAACUUUUGUUUGUAACCUUUUACAACGAAUCUGGCUUUGUAUUUUUGCACUUCUCCGUUUUGCUUUAGAUUUGUUUUAUAGAUCCAUUUGACUCCAAGAGCCCUUUUAUUUUCUGGUAAUUUUACUAACUCUCAUGUCUCGUUUCUUCUUAUUGCAUCAAUCUCUUGAUUCAUUGCAUCUUCCCAAUUUUCAUCUUGAAUUGCUUCUUCAAAGUUUACAGGAUCAACAUUUGCAAAUAAAGCAAAAUCAACAUGUUCUUCAUCUAGUAUCCUUCUUGAAGUAUUAUAGAUCUCUUGAAUAUAUUUCUGGUCUUCCUUGAAGUAGUUUCUUUAUCACUUGUGGAGUGUGAUGAAGUAGGUAAAGUCAGUGGUUGAGUUACUUCAAGCUCCAAGUCUCGAGCAUCUUCUUUGCCAUCCAUAUCAACAUGUAAUGGAUUUUGGUCUUCAUUUGGUGUAUUCCAUUGCCACAAUUUUGCUUCAUCGAACUUGACAUCUCGACUAAUAAUAACUUUCUUACUUACCGAGUUGUAUAGUCUGUAGCCUUGGAGUUCUCAUUGUGCCGAACAAAAAUGCAUUUUUCUGAUUUAUCAUCUAGCUUACCUCUUUUCUCAUCUGAAAUGUGAGAGUAAGCAAUGCACCCAAACACUCUUAGGUGACUAACAGUUGGUUUCAAUCCGCUCCAUGCUUCUUGAGAAGUAAUACCUUGCACACUUUUCGUUGAAGCUCUAUUUAGGAGAUAAACAGCACAAGUUACUGCGUCUCCCAAAAUUGAUCAGGAAGUUUCUUUGCCUUCAACAUACUUCUUGCAAGUUCCACUAUUAUUCUAUUUUUCCUCUCUGCAAUUCCGUUUUGUUGAGGAGUUCUUUGAAUAGUCUUUUGAUGCUUGAUUCCAUUUUCCUUCAAGAAAUCUGCAAAAACAAUAUAUUCUCCUCCACGAUCCAAACGCAAUGAUUUCAAUUUCAAGUUUCUUUCAUUUUCCACCAUUGCUUUGAAUGUCUUGAAACAUUAGAAAGUAGCACUCUUUUCUUUGAGUAGAUAAAUCCAUGUUUUUCGACUGUAGUCAUCAAUAAAUGUGAGAAAAUAAUGGUUACCUCCAUGUGUAGUAGUUCUCAUAGGUCCACAUAAAUUUGUAUGAACAAGCUCAAGUGGUUUUGAUGCUCUCCAAGAACCUCCAGUCGGAAAUGAAUUUCGAUGAUGCUUUCCGAAAACACAUGCUUCACAGAGUUGAUCUUCCUUUUUAAUAUUUGACAUUCCUCUCACCAUAUGUUGUUGACACAUGUGAGACAAAGUGUCAAAACUUAGGUGCCCAAAUCGACAAUGUCAUAACCAUGAGGUGUCAUUUACUAAAGUCUCAAAACAAACAAGCUUCUCAUAACAUAUUUUAAUUGGAAACAUUUUGUUGUGAGUCAUACGAACCUUCGUUAUGAGAUCUCCAUUCCUUGUUCUAAUCUCACAUAUGUUAUCUUUAAAGAUAACCUCAUGUUCUCUUAGGAGAAGUUGGCCAACACUUAAAAGAUUGUGUUUGAGACCUGAAACAUAAUACACAUCAGUAAUUCUUUUUGCUCCCCUUUUUGUCUUGACAAGAAUAUCUCAUUUUCCUUUGACUUCAAGCUUCUUGUUGUCACCAGUCUUCACUACAUUUUGAUGAGAUUCAUCUAAAGAUAUAAAAAUAUCCUUUCUUCCUGUCAUGUGGUUACUACAACCACUAUCAAGAUACCAUAUUUCUUCAGUGCUUGAUUCUUGAACGUUGAGAGUGAGGAAGAGAAGACCUUGAUCAUUAUUUGAUUGUUCAUGCAUUAGCGUGGUUUCUGCUUGAUUAGAAUUAGCCUUCUUAGACCAACAGUCUGCUUGAAAAUGUCCAUAACGUCUACAAUUGAAACAUUGUAUGUGAGAAAAAUCUCCAUGACCACCACUUCUACCUCUUCCUCUAUUUGAACUUCUUCCCCGUCCUCUAUUUGAAAAAGAUUGAUUGUCUCUGCUUUCUGACUCUGUAUUUGUUACAACGUUGGAUCGUCCAUUGCCUCUACCACCACGUCCACCUCUUCUUCCAUUGGAUCGACCUCUAUAGGAAGACUGCAUAUGAAAAGCUUCUUCUGAAGGAGUAGAAUCAAACAUCUUCAAUCUGAGCUCAUCAGAUUGAAGAGAUCCCAUUAAGCUAUUUAUAGAGAGAGUUGACAAAUAUUUGGAUUCUUCAAUUGCUACAACAAUAUGCUCAUAUUUUCUAGUCAUGCUUCUAAGAAUCUUCUCAACAAUCCUUUGAUCUUCAAUUGUUUCUCCAUUUGAUCUCAAUUGAUUAACAAUUAAGAGCACACGGUUAAAAAAUUCUUUAAUAGUUUCAGAAUCUUUCAUUCGAAUUGUAUCAAAUUCAGCUUUAAGUGUUUGUAAUCGGACCAAUUUUACCUUUUCUUCUCCUUCAUACAAAUUUUGCAAUGCAUCCCAUGCUGCUUUAGCAGUAGAGACUCCUGAUAUUCUUUCAAAAAUAUUUUCAUCCACAGCUUGGUACAUGAAAAAUAAUGCAUUCUUAUCCUUUUUUCUAGCAUCUCUUAACUCAUUGAGUUGUUGUGCUGAAAGACCAUUCUCACUUUCUGGCUCUGAAAUAUCCAAUGUCAACAAUAUCCCAAAGAUCUUGAUAUCCAUAAAGAACCUUUAUUUGCUGGCUCCACCGCCUAUAGUUUUUUCCCUCAAAGCGAGGAAGUUGAGGUUGCAACAUGUUAGAUGACAUCUUUCAAUCCUUACUCUGAUACCACUUUGUUAGAGGCGUUGACGAGCCCACUCUAAAUUUACUCUAAGUCUCACAAACUUUUAAGCGAAGAAACUUGUUCUCUUAGAAAACUCAAUAACACACAAGAGAAAAAUGUUGUUCUCUUGAAACUCACUUACUUUCUAAAACUCAAUUUGCUUCUAUUGAUUUGAUUUUUUUAUCUUUCAUACAAAUGAAGAAAAUGAUCUCUAUAUAUAGUACUCAAGAGACACUUCCUAAAAGACACAAAAUAAAUGAAGUACAUGUAUACAUACCAUUCAUGUACUUGAAUAAUUACAUGUAUCUAGAAAUGCAUAUGUAUCUUGAAAUUAGAAAUGUAUCUAUUAAUGUGUUAUCUAUAAUGUAUCUAGCUUAUUAAUUUCUAACAAGCUUUUGAUACAUAACGAAGUUUGGUUUCAGUAAGAAUUACUAAGUCAGAAGAGUGGCUAGAAACAUAACUUUUCAUUAAGGCUCUUUUAGAGAAUGAGCCGUUGCUGCCCAUCUUUUCUCAGUGUUUUACCAAAAUUGUUGGAAACGCACAAAAAACAACUGGAAUACAGAAGCCAAAAAACAGAAACUUCUAUAUUUUCAUAACAGAAUAAUCAAUUGAAAUGCCUUAUUAAAAGGCUUACAAAAAACUAGUAUUUACUAAAAAUAAAACCAUGUUGACAUUCAGAUUCUCGCCGUCUUGUUCCAAUUUUUCUUGUUUUUUUUUUGGGGAGGGGGGUGGGAAACAACAAUAUUUUCGAUAAACGAAUGUUGUUCCGCUUUCAAGUUAAAUUCAUCAAAGGAAAUGGCAGCUUGUCUUGAGAACGUACCAUCUAUGUGUGGGUUCCUUUCAAUUAGCCAACGUCCCUUCACAGGUAUCACAGUUUGGACCAGAAAUGUGUUGCCCUCCUUAUCAAUGAUGUUUAUUGUGGCUGGUAUGAACCCAGUAUAAUUGAGUCUGACUUUAAUGUUUGCCUCUACGAUGUCGAAUGCAUUUAGGUUGUUCUUUUGGGGCUUUUUGCUCUUUUUGAAUGCAUUCCUUUGUUUCUUAUAAAAAUGACGAUGAAAAUCAUAGACAUGGUUUCAUUGGCCUAAGCCUUGCCAAAUUGGAUGGAGCCAUGCUGUAGGAGAUCUCACUCCCAUUUGGUUACUCUUCAUAAAGAUUUAUUUGUUUUUCUUACAAUAAAUGUGAUGUCACUCCUCGUGAAGAAACCAUGUUUAUCUCCCUUAUGGUGAUUAGUUUGAAGUUAGCAUUUAGUGGUAUUCAUUUGACAUUAUUGGAUUUAUGGGGUUGAGAUUGUUUCAAAGCUAUCAAUGUCACGUAGAGACUUUUUGUUGAGACUUUUUGAGGACCUUUUAGGUUGGUUUUGGAUUCGAAAGUCAGAUUUAGGCCAUGCAUCUUCUGUAAUUUGAACCUCCACAUUAAAAUAGGACUUAAUCAUUUUAAUGUACAUUUUUCAGAUUUAUGUAGUUUGAAGGAGCGGGGAAUGAAGACUUUCUUAGUGAGUUAACUAUUUUUUGUGUUGUAAUUUUUUUUUUUUUUGUUCAUUUUGGUAUGCCAAAGUGAAAUGUAAUAUAGCUCACCAACCUUGACACACUAAAGAAUGAUUGUUUGCCAUAUUUUGACCAAGUAUUGAAUUGUGGAUUGUGAUAUUAAUGGUUGAAAAUAUUUUUCAUUUUUAAAUUUUUGGUUGCAGUGUUUAAUGUAUUAUGGUGUAGAAAAUUCAUUCUAUAUGUAAAAUUUAAUUUAUAAGCAUACAAUAUUAUAUUAAUAAUAAAUGUGGAAAAUUUUAAAUUGUUUUUGUCAUGUUCUUUGUGUGGUUAGAAAUAUGUCAAUUAGAAAGUUCUGCGACGUUUAUGCUUGGACAAAAAAGAAACAAAUAUUAUUUAAAAACAAAUUUAGCCUGGGGAGAAAUUUUGUUUUGUCCACAAAGAUCUUUUCGUUGGCAAAACUAGCUUCCGCCCACGAAACAAACGUGGCCAGAAAGUUUAUUUUUGUCGACGUGAUGAUGAUCAUGGGUAAAAAAUACCUUUCGUUUUUUUGUGGUCAGAAGGUUUACUUUUGGCGACGUGAUGUAAUCGUGGGCAAAAAUACAUUUUUGUCGACAUUUUUUUCGUGGCUAGAAAUAUUUUUUCUGCCCACGAUUUUAAUUUGCAUGAACAUUUGUGCCGACGCAACGUAAAAAACGUAGGCAAAGUAAAAGACGACGGUGUUUCGGCCACCCAACGUGCCCACGAAGAAAAAGUGUUGGCAAAAGGUCUGGCCACGUUUUUCAUAAGAAGUGUCCAUGGUUUUCUGCGUGGGCAAAGACGAAAAUUCUUGUAGUGUCUUUUGUUGUAUGUUUUCUGUAGCCAUAAAAAAUAUUCGGGAAACCUUUUCUCCAAGAAGAAUCCGGUUGUAUGUGGGGUAUCCAAUUACCAUCUUAGUUUCCCUCUAAAUCCAAGUUUACUAAGUUAUCUUGAUGGGUAAAAUAAAUUAAAUGGGACCUUUGAGGAGGUUGUAAAGGAAGUGUCUUAUAGGAAUUCUUUUUCAUAAUGACUUGUUAAGAUAGCUAGUGCUUUUGAUGUUUAAAUAUUACCAAAGGUUCUAAAUUAUGUUAAUUUUGGGGAAGGAAAAACAAUAAAUUGAAGAAUUGAACCCUCGUUGAAGCCAUUUUUAUGGGUUCUCCAUAUACAUUAAUGAGCUAUGUUUGGGUAGAUUUUUCUUAUGGUUGUUGAAUUAAGUUUUGACACUGAAAGUUUUUUUUUUAGGCUUUCUGAAAGUUGAUGUCUGUUCAAGGAAGGGAAUUUUUGGAUUGAGAAAUUAUAGGAUUCAAACUAAGUGUUAAAUAUGAUUUGAUUUAGGCUAUCUCCAUAUUCUAGCUUUUCUGUUUUAGGGAUUGUAUAGUAUGUUUUUUACCCAAAUUUGGAAUUAACGGUAUCUAUCCUUAUCGAGGCUUAUUUGUGUGAAGACACAUUUUUUGUUGUUCAAAAUUCUCUAGAAUGAAAAGAUUCAUUGUGUGUUACACUCACAUGACCUCACACUUUAAUAAUUUGAUAGUUGUUAACCGACCGUUAUGUUGUUCUACCUAGUUUCUUCUUAUGGUAAUCGAUAUUUCUGAUAUUUUUGGUCGACUGUGGAUCAACAUUUAUGGCUGAAGUAAAUGAUUGGCGUGACUCGACGGAUAACCAUAUAUGUUGGGCUACUUCAACUACCAUCUUUCCUACUUUAUAUUUUUUGGAUUUUUGGACCGAGCAUUAGAAGAAAUCUGACCUUUAACGUCGGUUGAAAAAAAAUGAAAACGGAUCUUUAAUGUCAGUUUUUUAAAUGGGGAUGUUUAGUGUCGGUUUUCAACCGUCAUAAAAAAGUUAUGGUAAUUUUUUUUUUUUAAAUUUUGUAGAGUCAAGUAUCCCUCGUUUAGUCUCACAUUUCUUCCUCGCCUCACGAUUUCUUCUCUCUCAAUUUUCUCUCAGUUUCUCCUCACUCUUCUCAAUCUCACUUUACUCCACCGUCAAGUCCGCCACAGUGGUGCCGUCCCAAAUCUUCAAAAGAUAUGUCGUCCAUCGUCGCACUGUUCCAGAUCUUCGAAGAUCUGUCGAACGUCGUCCCAAAUAGAAACCCUAAGUAUUCUCCAUGAAAUUGAAUCCCUUGUUUGAAACUCACGUUCAUCGUGCGACAUCAUCUUCUCUUUUUUGUGAGCCUUGGUAUAUAGCUACAGAUUUUGUUUUUCUUCUUUCACAAUAGUUUCUAAAUUAUCAAAGUUUCAUUUAAGUGUUAAGAUAUCAAUUCGUAGGAACAAGAGCUUAACUUCAAUUUCAAACCAGAAUGGAGAUCCUCCACAUUCCAUGGUCAUCGUGGCUAAUAAUAAGAAGAUAAUGGACACGAAUCCUAGAACAAAUGGGGCAGUAUAUCAUCAAGAUUCAAAACCCUCGAGCAGUAAGUAAGAUUGCACUUUAUUUUCCUAUUUUAACAAAAAGCACAUAGGCAAAAGAAUCAAUAGUUGCAUUUGAAAAGAUAGAAUUAAUUAUAAUAUGUUUUCCAAGUGUACUUAUCAAAGUAAUCUCUUUCGUCUUUUCAAAUUUUCCUCUCCUUUUUCCUUCGUAUUCAUCCUCAAGGUUCCAUGCUUUUUCUCUUCGCUUAUCCUCCAAUCUCUCAUUUUUUUCUCUUUUUUUAUCAAUCUUUUCCCACUCUUUUUUCCUUUUUCCUUAAAUAUAUAUUAACAAAACUGGCCCUCAACGUUUUUAUCGUUCUUUUCUUUUUAAAUUCAUUAUCCUUCUUUUCUUUAAUUUAAGGUAUCUCAUCUUUUCUUCACCUUUUUUAUGGUUUCUUUUAUAAAAAGAAAAGAAUAAUAUUUAUGACCAUUUUUUUAUUUAUAUUUAUAAAAUUAAAUAAACAUGGAAGAUGGAGCUCAAUUGUUAGAGCACUCGCUUGGCCAGUUCGAUAGACACAGUUAGACAUAGUUAGACAUAGGGAUUGAUACCCAUUGGCAGCAUCUCCAUGGUCUUUUAAUCAAAUUCAAUAACACAUCUAUAUUUCUUUAUUUAUUAGAUUGUUGACUAGAAAAUAAGUUGGGGUUUUUUCCUCUUUUUAAAAAGUUAUCUUUCUUUUAAGAAUUCGAUUAAAAACUAUUUCGUAAAAAUAAUUGUAACAAAUGAGAUUUAGACUCACAACCAACACAAGACUUGUGCAAGGGGCACAACCACUUCAGCACAAGUAUAAUUUAGGCAAAGAAAAGCCGAAUUUAAUAUGUACUGUAAUCUAACACUUCAAAAAAUUGAUUCCAAACUAUCUCCAAAUCUAUCAACUUUGUACGGCUAAGCAAGAGAGAUACAAAAAGUAGAAGAUUCCAUUUUAUCAAAAUUAGACACCAUGGAAAUGAAUAUGUUGACUGUUAUAAACCACACACAACUAUAUAAAUACCAAACUCCUAACUCCUAAGUAUUCACGAACAAAACACAUAAACUUUACUACAUAAUAUAUCAUCUUCUAAAACUAUCUGUCCAUCAAAAGUAGAUUGUUGCAGUAUGAGUUUCGUAAUUAAGGGAUCACCCAUUCCAAACAUCGAUCAGCGAAAGGACGUGCAACAAAUUGGAGGGAUUGCAGUGGACAUACACAACGAAGAAAAAUCAGACACUUUGAUUUUCCAUCGUGUGAUAAACGGCCUGGAGCUUGUGAUUAAUGAUAUAAAUGGUAGCAUAUUGUCGUAUACUCUUGUGGUGGAAGCUAUAAAUAAGGAUAAAAAUAUCUGGACAUAUGUGACUUCCAUUAAAAUUACAAAACCAUCAAGCUAUGAACUCGUAUAUUUUAGAGAUCCCCUCGGGUACUACCCCGAAUAGUAUGAAAACAAUCCUUCUAUAUGUGUGUGUGUGUGAGAGGCAUUAUUGUCUUUUGCCUAUAUGAAAAUAAAUGGUAUAACCAUAUAAUAAGAACAAUGAUACUUACCUAUUAUCUCUCUUUCUAGUUUUUCUUUUUUAUCAAAUUUUGCAGUCAAGUAUUCAUGGUGCAUUUCAGAAAUUAUAAUUUGUUAUAUAAUCGUAACUUGUUUGUCUGUCUUAGUACUUCAAUAGGAAUUAAGGGAGAGUAACCAAUGGCAACCCAUAUCUAUGACCUCAUUCUUUUCAAAAUAUAAAACAAACCACAGUUAAUAUCGAUCAUUAAUGCACAACUUCUAGGUAUUUUCCAUUUGUGUUAGACAUCUCCUCCUUUCUCACCACUACCAGAAAAAGUGGCUUUCUUGACCUUUGUAGUUUUAAUUGCUUGACGUCUUUUGAAUAAAAACGUUAAGAAAUGGGUGAUUUCAAAGAAAAAACGUCAAGAAUUUCUAUGAAAAGACGGAGAUAUGCCAAUCUUCAACUUUCUUGACGUUUUUUAAACGUCGAGUAAUAUUUAUUUAUCCUUGACAUUUUAAAAACGUCAAGUUCUAUUAAAUAAAUAAUAAAAAACAAAAACGCGUCGUCUCCCUUCUUUAUCGAAUUAAUUGUUUUGGCCUAGAAAUCUUCUUCUUCAUAUUUCCAAAUUUCGCAUCUUCUUCUUCUUCACGACUGAGUAUUCGAAAUCUCCAUCUUCACAUUGUCGUCACGCAUGAGCUUCCGUAAUCUUCUUCUCCACAGUGUCGUUCGUCACGCCGUCGUCUCGUCACAAUUCUCCGUCUUCGAAAAGUAACCAUCGGUCCUUCACUUGAUCCUCUUGUCUUCAAAAAAUGCACACUCUGUCAUAUGAAAUUGGACAUCUGAAAUCGCCGUUCUUAACGUUGGGGAAGCCCUAUCCCACACCCGUUCUUGAAGAUAUUCGAAAUUUGUUUUCACACUCGUUCGAAAUCACCAUUCGAAAUCGCCACCGGGGAUUAAUUCCAUCUCUUCACACCUAUCUCUUCACACUCAAUCUCUUCCUUUUGAAACAUCCUUGAUGCUUUUGACCGCCGACUGAAGUCCUCCAAACAAACACAUUUUGUUCUCUGACCACAAAUUGAAUUAGGUGCGUUGUCCGGUUAAGUUGAUGCUUUAAAACCAUUUCUUUCUCCAAACGCUUCCUUUUUGUUUUCACAUGAUAAAGAACUGAUAAAUCAUUUUCUCUUUUGGUUUUGGGACGGGAUGAGUGUACUAUACAAAUAUUAACCUAGUUGAGAUGUGUUAGUGUGUGAAAUUUUUCAGAGAAAAAAAAAAAGAGACAUCUUCUCCAAAUUUUUAUCUCCCUCAACUAUCUUCCUUCAAUGUCUUUUAAAGAAAGAAAAAAACCAACACCAACAAACCUUCUAUCCCUUUUUUUUCUUCUUUUUCUUCCUUAAGCUUUUGGGUCUUUUCUUUAAUUAUGUAUACGUCUUUGUCUUUUUUCCUAUUUUUCACAGAGAAGAAAAAAUUUAAAGGAUUUUUUAAAAAAAUAAUAAUAGAAGAAAACAGGUGACGAGAAAAGAAUAAAAUUUUCUUUAUACAUUUUCUUUUCUUUCUCUAUCAUUUAAAAAAAGCAGAUCACUUGGAGUAAAUCUUUACUAAAUACAACUUCUAACUAAGUUUAUUUUAACGUGAGAUUUGAUUUGCUAAAGAAAAAAAAAAAGUAAAGACACAUGAUGAAAUGUAUAAGAAAAAAACUUUCUUUGAAUUGGCAGAGAUUAUCUAAAAAAAUUUUAUUCUACGAAACUUUAUUUCCCACUAUUUUCAAAUGAAAAGGGUCCCUACUUAUAAACCGGGGUAUACCACAAAUAGAAAAAAUGAAUAAGAAUAAAAACAAAAUUAGAUAUUAUGUGAAUAAAAUAAUUUUUCAUUUUCUUAAAAUAAAUUAAAUGAGAUAUUUUGAGAUUUUUGUGAAAAUAAAUUAAUAAAUACGUUACCUAAAUUUGUACAACAUAAAAGUUGAUUAUUAUUAGUUGUCCCACAUUUUAAUUCAAGAGACCCCUCUCAAUAUAUAUUUCAAUUAACCUAAGAUCAAAAGUAACGAGACUAAUUAAAUAUACAAAUUCUCGUUAAAUUAGUUUUUCUUCUAAUCUUCAGCCGACAACCGUGGUGGUUCGCUGUUAUUUUCAUCUUUCACAACUAGCAUCCUUUUGCUAAAUUACUGUUUUUCCUCACAUUUUCUUCAUUCUCUUCCAUCUUUCUCUCUUUUAUUUUCCCUUUGAUACACUUCAUACACACUUGCAAUCAAGAAAAAAUGAGUGGGGUUAGGUAAAAUGUGUCAUUGAAAAUAAAAAUACAGAUUUCCUUUUACACAAAUUAAGUUGUCUUGACACAAUCUUUGCGUUGUUAAUUAACGAUAUAUUUUUUGUGUUAUUAAUUUUUUUUUUAAUUCCCUCUCUCACGCAAUUAAAAUAAACCAUUGGUGCAUUUAUCCUUUUUCUCUUUACCAAAAACAUUCUCCAACUGUGUAACAUCUAUCUGAAACGCUAAAAAACCCUUAUCUUCCAUUUUUCUUCCAUCUACCGCCGCCGAGACAGUCCUCCAGCCACCGUCGUCGAAAUGCCAAACCAAGCCAACGUCGUCGAACCGAGAAAUUUAACCACUACAGUCGAAUAAUUUUUGUUUUAAAAGGAUACUCUAGCCACCUAAUUUUAUCCUACAUUUUUUUAUAUAUAUUUUUUAAAAUAAUGACUAAGAUUUUUUAUUUUUCCUUAUAAUAAUCAUUUUAUUAAAAAAUUUCUUUGACGACCAUAUUUAUCAUAAAAAAAUCAAUUUAUUUAAAACAAAUCUUUUAAUGUUAGAUUUACCUUAUUUGUACUAGGAAAAAGAUAUUUGUUUUUCCUUAUUGUUAGCCUCCAACUCUUUGAGCAACCGACUAAGGUAAUCCAUUGCAAGCAAGAAAAUAAAGGGGGAGAUUGGAUCACCUUGUCUAAUACCUCUAAUAGGUUGUAUUUUUCCCCUUUGGUCUUUCAUUAAUUAGUAUGGAGUAUUUUACACUGCUAAGACAGUUGCUUAUCCAAGAUCUCCAUUUAUUUGGGAAUCCUUUUUUCAACCGGAUGAAGUCUAUAAACUACCAAUUUAACUUGUCAAAAGGCCUUUUCAAUAACAAGUUUAAUUAUAAAGCCCUUUGUUUUUUUUACUUUCCAGAAAUCAACAACUUCGUUGGCAAUCAAGAUAGCAUCAGUUGUCUGUCUCCCCCUAACAAAGGCCAUUUGGUUUUCGGAAUCCGUAUCAUGGAGAGUGUUUUUUAGCCUUUCUGUAAGGAAAGAUCAAGCCUAGCGAAGCGAAGCGACCACUGGAGAUUAAUGUAAUAGCGAGACCAAUCUAAAGGAUGCGAAGAAGAAGAUUGACUUAAGAGGAGAUAAAGACUUUAAAAAAAGUUCAGACGAGACUGCUCUGUUAGGAUCGAAGAGGUCUGGAGGACCCGUCCAGAGGCGCGAAGCGAAGCGACUGUGAAAGAGCCCUUAGAUAGGAAAAAUAGGCCAAUAGGAGAGGAGCCUUUGUUUUUGCUAGGCUUUCUCUUUCCGACUACAAUAUCUCUGUCUUAUAGAACCUUGUAAAUCAAUGUCAAAGUCUAUCAAAGUAGAUGCUUUAUUUUACAGUCAUGAAAGAGUGAACAACAGAAACUAAAACAGAUGUGGAUCCUUCCUCCAAAGGCUGAGAGGUCAGGGCUCUUUCUUACCCCACGAACCUUGAUAAGCGACCCUUUGUUAAGGGUCGACCUGCUUUCCACUGCUCCACGUGUCUUUAGUAACCCUAUUUUCUUGAGUUGGGUUCAUAAUUUCCAUAACUAUAUAAUUUUACUUUUCUUGCAUAUAAUUUUUCAUAUAUAUUUAACUUUAUUUUCCUAUUUUAACAAAAAGCACAUAGGCAAAAGAAUCAAUAGUUGCAUUUGAAAAGAUAGAAUUAAUUAUAAUAUGUUUUCCAAGUGUACUUAUCAAAGUAAUCUCUUUCGUCUUUUCAAAUUUUCUUCUGCUUUUUCCUUCGUAUUCAUCCUCAAGGUUCCAUGCUUUUUCUCUUCGCUUAUCCUCCAAUCUCUCAUUUUUUUCUCUUUUUUUAUCAAUCUUUUCCCACUCUUUUUUCCUUUUUCCUUAAAUAUAUAUUAACAAAACUGGCCCUCAACGUUUUUAUCGUUCUUUUCUUUUUAAAUUCAUUAUCCUUCUUUUCUUUAAUUUAAGGUAUCUCAUCUUUUCUUCACCUUUUUUAUGGUUUCUUUUAUAAAAAGAAAAGAAUAAUAUUUAUGACCAUUUUUUUAUUUAUAUUUAUAAAAUUAAAUAAACAUGGAAGAUGGAGCUCAAUUGUUAGAGCACUCGCUUGGCCAGUUCGAUAGACACAGUUAGACAUAGUUAGACAUAGGGAUUGAUACCCAUUGGCAGCAUCUCCAUGGUCUUUUAAUCAAAUUCAAUAACACAUCUAUAUUUCUUUAUUUAUUAGAUUGUUGACUAGAAAAUAAGUUGGGGUUUUUUCCUCUUUUUAAAAAGUUGUCUUUCUUUUAGGAAAUCGAUUAAAAACUAUUUCGUAAAAAUAAUUGUAACAAAUGAGAUUUGGACUCACAACCAACACAACACUUGUGCAAGGGGGCACAACCACUUCAGCACAAGUAUAAUUUAGGCAAAGAAAAGCCGAAUUUACUAUGUACUACUAUAAUCUAACACUUAUAAGUAAGAGAGAUACAAAACUAUCUUCAAAUUGAUUCCAAACUAUCUUCAAAUCUAUCAACUGUGUACUGCUAAGCAAGAGAGAUACAAAAAGUAGAAGAUUCCAUUUUAUCAAAAUUAGACACAAUGGAAAUGAAUAUGUUGACUGUUAUAAACCACACACAACUAUAUAAAUACCAAACUCCUAACUCCUAAGUAUUCACGAACAAAACACAUAAACUUUACUACAUAAUAUAUCAUCUUCUAAAACUAUCUGUCCAUCAAAAGUAGAUUGUUGCAGUAUGAGUUUCGUAAUUAAGGGAUCACCCAUUCCAAACAUCGAUCAGCGAAAGGACGUGCAACAAAUUGGAGGGAUUGCAGUGGACAUACACAACGAAGAAAAAUCAGACACUUUGAUUUUCCAUCGUGUGAUAAACGGCCUGGAGCUUGUGAUUAAUGAUAUAAAUGGUAGCAUAUUGUCGUAUACUCUUGUGGUGGAAGCUAUAAAUAAGGAUAAAAAUAUCUGGACAUAUGUGACUUCCAUUAAAAUUACAAAACCAUCAAGCUAUGAACUCGUAUAUUUUAGAGAUCCCCUCGGGUACUACCCCGAAUAGUAUGAAAACAAUCCUUCUAUAUGUGUGUGUGUGUGAGAGGCAUUAUUGUCUUUUGCCUAUAUGAAAAUAAAUGGUAUAACCAUAUAAUAAGAACAAUGAUACUUACCUAUUAUCUCUCUUUCUAGUUUUUCUUUUUUAUCAAAUUUUGCAGUCAAGUAUACAUGGUGCAUUUCAGAAAUUAUAAUUUGUUAUAUAAUCGUAACUUGUUUGUCGGUCUUAGUGCUUCAUUAGGAAUUAAGGGAGAGCAACAUAUAGCGAGGCAUAUCUUUGACCUCAUUCAUUUCAAAAAUAUGAAACAAGGCCAAAGUGAAUAUAAUUAAUGCACAACUUCUAGGUAUUUUCCAUCGAUUUAAGGAUUCUCCUCCUUUUUCACGUUUCUCUCUCUC